AUGAUGUUUGUUGCAGGAAUA
rnacentral:misc_RNA from 1 species